AAGUAUAAAUUGCACUUUACAGGUGGUUAUGUGUCAGCAGUCCAAAAGUACUAAGCACUCAAAUCCAAAGGUCCAACAAAAGUAUAAAUCCACAAUGGCACGAGAAACGCUGGAGAUACAAAAACAACAAAAUCCACAGAUACAUCCAAAGGAAACAUCUGAAACGAACUGCCAACGAGUGAAAGACAGACAACCACUAAAAUACACAGCUUCUCUGCCUCGGCCAGGACGCGUUCUUCAGAUGAUCAUGACCAACCUGAGGAACCGUCCUCUGAGCAGCACAAGUGUCGCCUCCAUGAGGGAGUCCAGAAAUUAAAAGUUAUAUCUUGGAAUGAUUACCUCAUCGCAAAACAAUAAAGCUAUUAAAACUGUGAAA